UACGUAGGGUGCAAGCGUUAAUCGGAAUUACUGGGCGUAAAGCGUGCGCAGGCGGUUUCGUAAGUCUGUCGUGAAAUCCCCCGGGCUUAACCUGGGAAUGGCGAUGGAGACUGCGAGGCUAGAGUUUGGCAGAGGGGGGGUAGAAUUCCACGUGUAGCAGUGAAAUGCGUAGAGAUGUGGAGGAACACCGAUGGCGAAGGCAGCCCCCCUGGGUCAAAACUGACGCUCAUGCACGAAAGCGUGGGGAGCAAACAGG
rnacentral:rRNA from 1 species